rnacentral:rRNA from 1 species
CAGUCGCCGCGGUAAUACGUAGGUGGCAAGCGUUGUCCGGAAUUAUUGGGCGUAAAGGGCUCGCAGGCGGUUUCUUAAGACUGAUGUGAAAGCCCCCGGCUCAACCGGGGAGGGUCAUUGGAAACUGGGAUACUUGAGUGCAGAAGAGGAGAGUGGAAUUCCACGUGUAGCGGUGAAAUGCGUAGAGAUGUGGAGGAACACCAGUGGCGAAGGCGACUCUCUGGUCUGUAACUGACGCUGAGGAGCGAAAGCGUGGGGAGCGAACAGGAUUAGAUACCCCGGUAGUCCCUGUCUCUUAUAA